rnacentral:hammerhead_ribozyme from 1 species
GCACUGCUGAUUAGAUCUAAACAGGUCGAAACAGCUGUCCAGUGC